AAGAAAAUGAUGAAGUGGAGAAUACUCAACGUUUUCAAGAGGUUGAGAUGGCAACACACGAUGAAUGCAUUGGAUAUUCUCCAAUCCAUGAGUCAUUUGUAUCUGUUGGGGGAAACACUUCAUUGUUUACAGAUGAUGAGGGUGAUGCAUCGGAAGAAAAUUCUGAUGAAAAUAACAGACAACAUGACAUUUCCUAUUCAGCCCUGCAAUAUUUGAAUGCUGACAGGGAUCUAGAAAGUGAUGAUUCAGAGACAAGCAGGUACAGUAUGUAUUCACUGCAAAAAAUCGAAGUCUACUCUAGCAUAGUUUUCUUAUUACUGUA